rnacentral:lncRNA from 1 species
NCUCUCUCGUUUGAUUGUUCACCGACUUCCAGAUCAGGCGAGUUUAUUCUCUCGUCCGGAUCAGGCGAGUUUAUUCUCUCGUCUGAUUGUUCCCCAACUUCCGGAUCAGGCGAGUUUAUUCUCUCGUUUGAUUGUUCACCAACUUCCGGAUCAGGCGAGUUUAUUCUCUCGUUUGAUUGUUCACCAACUUCCGGAUCUGGCGAGUUUAUUCUCUCGUUUGAUUGUUCACCCUCUUUUAUCUCAACAUCGUUUUCUUCUUCAUCUCCUUUUGAGCAGUCCAUGGUAGGCAAGGAUUCAUCGGCAAGAGGACAGGCAAUUAUCGCCAAAUUCGACUCAUUCUGAUUCUCAUUUCUUGUUUCUUCGCAUUCUACGACUAAUGUAGAUGGAGAUCUACGUGACAUUUCUUCGGUCGCCU